rnacentral:tRNA from 1 species
GCGGAUGUAGCUCAGUUGGUAGAGCGCCGGUUUGUGGUUCCGGUUGUCGCGGGUUCGAUCCCCGUCAUUCGCC